GUGCUCACUUCAGCAGCACAUAGACUAAAAUUGGAAUGAUACAGAGAAGAUUAGCAAUUUGAAAUAAAUUUUUAAAAAUAUUGUAUACAUAUAU
ensembl:snRNA U6 U6 spliceosomal RNA